AUGCAUUGCUGGAAGAAAAGCAGUUGCUGGGAGGAGAGCACAGCAGCUCUAAUUGCCAUGAACAGCAGCCACUCCACACCCUCCAGUGAUGCCACAUCCAGUAGUAAAUGUUGGGAACCUGAGGCCACCAUGAAGGGAGCUGGGCACCAGGGUGGGACAGGUCAGAAGGGAAAAGGGAAGAGAAGACAUCCCACCUCCCUUGAACAUCCCGCAUCCCAUAAGGACCAUCCUGAGAGGUUGAAGGAGCUCCACAACCUGCUGUGCCAUUGCCUACACGAUGCCCAAUGCACCCAGAACUGCACAAAUUGCAUGCAGCAGGCAGGGCGACCUGCACCCAAGGUGCUUUAACUCCUGAACUGUUAGCAUGCUGAAGACAUCAGUGUAAAUUCAAUAUCUGCUCCAGCUGGUGACCCAUCUCAAGGCUGCCCAUCCUCCUGUGUCUUCCCAUGGUCCCAGAAGCUCUGGCCUCCCUUGGCCAGCCUGGCCCAGCAGCAGAAGACACUUCACCAG
rnacentral:lncRNA from 1 species